rnacentral:rRNA from 1 species
UACGGGGGGGGCAAGCGUUGUUCGGAAUUACUGGGCGUAAAGGGCUCGUAGGUGGCCAACUACGUCAGACGUGAAAUCCCUCAGCUUAACUGGGGAACUGCGUCUGAUACUGGAUGGCUUGAGUUUGGGAGAGGGAUGCGGAAUUCCAGGUGUAGCGGUGAAAUGCGUAGAUAUCUGGAGGAACACCGGUGGCGAAGGCGGCAUCCUGGACCAAUACUGACACUGAGGAGCGAAAGCCAGGGGAGCAAACGGG